GGAAUGAGAGUGGCGGAAGGGUGAGGAACGCGUAGGUAAUCUGCCUUGAAGUUGGGGAUAACCCCGGGAAACUGGGGCUAAUACCGAAUGUGAUGCUUGGCCGCAUGGUCGGGCUAUGAAAGAUGGGGAUCCUUCGGGACCUGUCGCUUUAAGAGGAGCCUGCGUCCUAUCAGCUAGUUGGUAGGGUAACGGCCUACCAAGGCUAUGACGGGUAGCUGGUCUGAGAGGACGGUCAGCCACACUGGGACUGAGACACUGCCCAGACUCCUACGGGAGGCUGCAGUCGAGGAUCAUUUGCAAUGCGCGAAAGCGUGACAAUGCGACGCUGCGUGGAGGAUGAAGGCCUUCGGGUUGUAAACUCCUGUCAUUCGGGAACAAUGACGGACGGGCUAAUAUCCCGGACGUGUGAUGGUACCGGAAGAGGAAACGGUUGCUAACUCUGUGCCAGCAGCAGCGGUAAUACAGAGACCGUGAGCGUUGUUCGGAUUUACUGGGCGUAAAGGGUGCGUAGGUGGUUCUGUAAGUCGGACGUGAAAUCCCACGGCCCAACCGUGGAAUUGCAUUUGAAACUACAGGGCUAGAGUGCAGGAGAGGAGAGCGGAAUUCUUGGUGUAGUGGUGAAAUACGUUGAUAUCAAGAAGAACACCGGCGGCGAAGGCGGCUCUCUAGAAUGCAACUGACACUGAGGCACGAAAGCUGGGGGAGCAAACAGGAUUAGAUACCCUGGUAGUCCCAGCCUUAAACGGUGUGCAUUUGGCGUGGGAGGAUAUUGACCCCUUCCGUGCCGUAGCUAACGCGAUAAAUGCACCGCCUGGGGAGUACGGCCGCAAGGCUAAAACUCAAAGAAAUUGACGGGGGCCCGCACAAGCGGAGGAGCAUGUGGCUUAAUUCGAUGCAACGCGAAGAACCUUACCAGGGCUUGACAUGUAGCUGCAGGCCCUCCGAAAGGAGGGCGGCCUUCGAGGGUGCUACACAGGUGCUGCAUGGCUGUCGUCAGUUCGUGCCGUGAGGUGUUGGGUUAAGUCCCGCAACGAACGCAACCCUUGUGUUUAGUUGCCACCGCAGGUGAUGAGCCUGCGAGCACUCUAGACAGACUGCCUGUACAAGCAGGAGGAAGGUGGGGAUGACGUCAAGUCAGUAUGGCCCUUACGUCCUGGGCUGCACACGUGCUACAAUGACCGGUAUAGAGGGAUGCGAAACCGCAAGGUCAAGCCAAUCCAUUAAAACCGGCCUCAGUUCGGAUUGAAGUCUGCAACUCGACUUCAUGAAGCUGGAUUCGCUAGUAACGGCGCAUCAGCUACGGCGCCGUGAAUACGUUCCCGGGCCUUGUACACACCGCCCGUCACAUCAUGAAAGCCGUCUGCACCCGAAGUCGCUGAUCCAACCUGUAAAGAAGGUAGGCGCCUAAGGUGUGGGUGGUGAUUGGGAUGAAGUCGGAACAAGGUA
rnacentral:rRNA from 1 species